rnacentral:rRNA from 1 species
UACGGGGGGGGGGCAAGCGUUGUUCGGAAUUACUGGGCGUAAAGGGCUCGUAGGUGGCCAACUAAGUCAGACGUGAAAUCCCUCGGCUUAACCGGGGAACUGCGUCUGAUACUGGAUGGCUUGAGUUCGGGAGAGGGAUGCGGAAUUCCAGGUGUAGCGGUGAAAUGCGUAGAUAUCUGGAGGAAUACCGGUGGCGAAGGCGGCAUCCUGGACCGAGAUUGACGCUGAUGAGCGAAAGCUAAGGGGAGCAAACGGGG